rnacentral:rRNA from 1 species
AAAUUGAAGAGUUUGAUCAUGGCUCAGAUUGAACGCUGGCGGCAGGCCUAACACAUGCAAGUCGAACGGUAACAGGAAGCAGCUUGCUGCUUCGCUGACGAGUGGCGGACGGGUGAGUAAUGUCUGGGAAACUGCCUGAUGGAGGGGGAUAACUACUGGAAACGGUGGCUAAUACCGCAUAACGUCGCAAGACCAAAGAGGGGGACCUUCGGGCCUCUUGCCAUCAGAUGUGCCCAGAUGGGAUUAGCUAGUUGGUGAGGUAACGGCUCACCAAGGCGACGAUCCCUAGCUGGUCUGAGAGGAUGACCAGCCACACUGGAACUGAGACACGGUCCAGACUCCUACGGGAGGCAGCAGUGGGGAAUAUUGCACAAUGGGCGCAAGCCUGAUGCAGCCAUGCCGCGUGUAUGAAGAAGGCCUUCGGGUUGUAAAGUACUUUCAGCGGGGAGGAAGGUGUUGUGGUUAAUAACCGCAGCAAUUGACGUUAC